UACAGAGGGGGCAAGCGUUGUUCGGAAUUACUGGGCGUAAAGCGUGCGCAGGCGGUUAUGCAAGACAGAGGUGAAAUCCCCGGGCUCAACCUGGGAACUGCCUUUGUGACUGCAUGGCUAGAGUACGGUAGAGGGGGAUGGAAUUCCGCGUGUAGCAGUGAAAUGCGUAGAUAUGCGGAGGAACACCGAUGGCGAAGGCAAUCCCCUGGACCUGUACUGACGCUCAUGCACAAAAGCGUGGGGAGCAAACAGG
rnacentral:rRNA from 1 species